rnacentral:lncRNA from 1 species
CGUCAGAGGUAGUUUUGCGUUUUAUGUACAUACUGUUUUGUUGUUGUGGUAAUCGCUGGAGCGAGGAGGUGUUAUAGCCUUGUGUAUAUACCGUGAACCCAUUUUGUUUUAUGUAUACAUGUGUUUGUUUUAGCAGCUCUGGACUUUGGUUAUAGCUCCUAUUCGUUUGCAGGUACAGCUAUCGCUUCGUAUACACGAAAAAUUCCUAUGUAUACGGUGGGUCUGUUAGCAUGCCAGGGAAACGUGGUAAUCCGAGGCGUGACAGAUUAAACUGAUAUCAGAGCUUAGAAUUACGUCAUUGGAA